rnacentral:rRNA from 1 species
CGUUCCCGGGCCUUGUACACACCGCCCGUCACAUCAUGGGAGUUGGUUUUACCCGAAGAGUCUGACCCAACCGCAAGGGGGAGGAACCUAAGGUAAGGCCGAUGACUGGGAUG